rnacentral:rRNA from 1 species
GUGUCAGCCGCCGCGGUAAUACGGAGGGUGCAAGCGUUAUCCGGAAUCACUGGGUUUAAAGGGUGCGUAGGCGGCUUGGUAAGUCAGGGGUGAAAGCUUCCCGCUCAACGGGAGAACUGCCCUUGAUACUGCCAGGCUCGAAUUGGGUUGAGGCCGGCGGAAUGUGGCAUGUAGCGGUGAAAUGCUUAGAUAUGCCAUAGAACACCGAUUGCGAAGGCAGCCGGCCAAGCCUUGAUUGACGCUGAGGCACGAAAGCGUGGGGAGCGAACAGGAUUAGAAACCCCUGUAGUCC